AUCCUUGAUAUGAUGUCAUUGAGAGCAAAUUCAUCAGCAUCACGAGCAGCUCGUAAAAGUGUUUGGCUCAUUGUUUCUCCAGAAGCGGAUUUAAAUGAUCUCUUCUUGGGAUUAGUACUGCUGAUGUCUUCAAGUAAAACUUGUAUCAGAACUAAAAGACACUUUUUUUCUUGCUUCACACCAAUCAAUUGAUGAAGUUUUAGUGUUUGGUUUCACUACACUUUCUGAAUUCAACGUAUGACGACUUGAAGAUUUUUUAAAAUUAAUCACUGGACGAUUAGGACGUGAAUUGGAUGAAUUACUCUUCUUCUUGGUGGACCAGUUCCUAAUCCUGUAACAGUAGUAUUAAAUAUAGAUCAAUCACUAGAUGCAUAAAGUUGAACAAUUUUUCGAACAGCUUUCUCGUAACGCAAAAAAGCCGGGUGAUAAAUUUCCUUUGGAAGCAACAACGUAGUUUGGAAGAUCACAAACUGAUGAAGAGCUUUUCGAGUUUCUUUCUCGACUUCUUGACUUGGAUUUAUGUUCAGUAAGGAUCCGAUGGACUUUCUGGUGGUUGAAAAUAAUGUAUGUUAGAUGACAGUGAUCAAAUACGAGUGAGAAGCUGAUGAUGUUGACAAAUAGAUUGCUGAUUCGACAAGCACUCGCGAACUCGAACGAUGAGCGAAUAAGCGGGCGAAUUAUGUGAUGAAGAAUAAGAAUAUAAAGAAAUAGAUAGAAAGAGAAGUACUUACUUGAUGAGUGGUGGGCUCGUAGAAGGUGGGGAGCUUUUGCUGUUGACCACUCGUACUUGUUACGCCGAUGAUGCUCUCGCGGUGUGUUGAGACGUCAGAUAAAUUCCAUCGUCGUCCGGUCGUCGUACUCGUCUCCAUCAAACGCUGAAAUGAUGAUUGUUCAGGGUCAGAGUACGACAUUCUUGAGAUCUUUUCAAUACACAUGAUAUAUCACGUUUUAUUCUUUGAAGAUAAUGGAAUGACUUUUGAAUGAGAAUUACAACUGAAGAAAAGAUCUAUUGCGCACGCGUAUUUUAAUGUAGAUGGCGUCAUUUGCAAACUUAACUUCCAAAUUAACGGUUUUUUUUAUUGUUAGAAGAAAACAAUCGAGAAACUGUGAUAAGUUGUCAAGUUGGAAUUGGAUCAAAUUUGUAGAAGCUUAAGACAUGCGGAAACAUUAGUUGAUUGGCUUUCGUGCUAGCUACUGAAGACGUUGAUUGAACUGAGGGUUGAAGAGCAGAGAAGAAGAGGCUUCACUUUCCUCACCAUCUGUUCCAAAACAAUUACACUGUUGACAAAUAAAGAUAAAAAUAUGAUCGAUUACUCCAGUGCUCCUUUGAAUUUUUCCGUACAAUACGAGUUUACAAUAGUUGAUCUUCUAGGGAUUAAGAGUUACAAGGACUUGAAAAAAUGAAUUUUUUCUUCAAGAGUUGAUGUUGAAAUGUAAAUACAUUUGUUAUAUGGGCUUGACUACUCUCCAGAGACAAGAGGGUGGAUCCUAACAUAUGAAGUGAAAGAGAAUCCACGCUUGGUCACAUUCAAAACAACCUUUCGUGCUCAAGGUAAACAUUAUUCUCUCCAUGAUUUAUACCAAGUUCCUCAAUGUCCAUUUACUUGGUCAGGAACUUGAGCUACGACUUGACCGUACUAAUGACUAGAUUUAUCGCUGCGCUCUUCAUGUCAUCGAAGAUGUAUAGAUGCUCUUUAAUCGAGCGACAACUGCUGCACAUAGAGGGAAGCUCAUCGUCAUAUUUUGAAGUUUAUAAAUAAAUCUAUCAGCUUAAAACGAAAAUUGACGUAUACUUGUUAAUAUUCAUCGUCAAGAUAUUUAUCAGAAACUAUCAUGAUGUAUUUACCUGAUAAGUAGAUGACUUGGAUUCUUCUGCAUUGGUAUCCCCGAUUCGCCGAUUCAAUACCAUCGUGAUAUGUUCUUGAUGCUCACCUUUAUGUAUUCUACUGUCUACUGGAAAGUUUGA